rnacentral:rRNA from 1 species
UAGCUUAACCUCCGGGAGGGCGCUUACCACUUUGUGAUUCAUGACUGGGGUGAAGUCGUAACAAGGUAACCGUAGGGGAACCUGCGGUUGGAUCACCUCCUUA